rnacentral:misc_RNA from 1 species
GGACUACCGGGGUAUCUAAUCCUGGUUCAUUCCUUUAUUUUGAUAGCUUCAAUUCAGAUUGAUAUUUUUAUUACCUUGUAUACUAAAAAAUUGAUUUCACCCUUUAUCAGUACAAGCUCUUAAGAAAUUAUCAAUCAAUAAUAUAACUAUUUUUAACCAAUUUUCUUUCAAUUUACCUCUCAGUAUUACCGCGGCUGCUGGCAC